AAAUGUAGGUGGUUAAUUUCAGGCAUCUUGAUGUUUAGAGAAAAAGGCUACAUUUGUAUUUUGCGCAUGAGCAGAAGAAUAUCCAUGUAGCAGCAAAACCGGAUACCUUCAUCUGCCUCAGCUGCAGCAAAACAUGUCUGCCCUCUGGUAGCACAAGGAUGGAAGACUGAAGAAACCCCAACUAAAGAAUCAUGGCAAGAAAAAUGGAUGGACUAUGCAGAACUGGCAAAACUGACACAUAAGCUACGGGACAAGGAUAACUGUGACUUUAAGGACGAAUGGGAACCCUUUACAAAGUAUCUGAAGAUGCAACAAAGUGAACUGGACUCCUUGGCAGGUUUUGAAUAAACAUUCACAAACUUUUUAUUGAUAAUAAUCAGCUAAAUAGUUUGAGGAUCUAUACAACUUUGUAACAUGCAGAAAACAGCAGUCUCAGAGAAACCAAAGACUGGAACUGAGGGAAGGCGGGGGGUGGGGGCAGGUGGGUUUUGUGGGGGGGGGAGGGAGGGAGGAAAAAUGGGGGGGGGGCAAGGAUGAUAUGUUUUUGGAUAAUAUGUCUUGUUUUAAUUUUGAAUAUAUUUUUUAAAAAAACCAAAACAUGUCUGCCCUCCAUUGGUGUGCAGGCGCUGUGACUCUCCAACGGAUUGACCUCACCCCUGAAGGCAAACUCUUACAUUGUCUCCCAAGACAGACACAUGCCAACAAUUGAGCCUGUGUCAGGUCAGUGGUGUUCCUCCAAAGCAGGCCAAAUGAAUAAUUGGCUUUACUGUUUGUAUUAUGAUGUAGCAAGAUUCGAUUUGAUUU
rnacentral:lncRNA from 1 species